GAUCUUCUACAAGUAACCAAAAAUAUCAAUGCCAUUGACAAAUAGAAAAAAAUAGUUAUAUAGUUAAUCAUACCUCAUUGAAAAUCACACCACUGCCUUCCUUCCCUAAUGAUUGUCUAUAAACAAAAUCCAAGAACAGCGUCUCUUUUUUUCUUUGCGUUAGUUCCUGUCCGUGUACAGAGAACAUCAGGCUGUGACUCACAUACUGACACAUCUCCAGCACAGCUGGAUAGGCACAGAACGCAUUUCACAACAAGGACAAAGAAAGAAAGGGAGAAAAGUCCGUUCAUUUAAAGAAUCUAUAUAGCUUACUGCUGCAAAAGCAAGAUGCAAACUUUUCCAAGAAAACCAGUUCAAGGAAAAGCAAAUUGUUUUGUGCUAAUUAAAAAUUGCUUGAAUAAUUUUUAAUAUGUAAUAAAUUCCUUCAAGAUAGCUAUUCACUCUGGAAACCUCACUCUCACUGAGAAGAAGCAACAAUUUAUGAAUAUCGGGAGUGAAGCUCUGGUGACAAUUUAGAGGGAUGAACAAUAAAAGAAAAGUACUCCGUGAUAAUCUUGGAAUUCUUUCGAGAGAAAAAUAGCUAUAGGGAUAGGUUUCUAUGCAGGCAAAAGAAAGAAUGGUGUUGCAUAAACUCUCCAGAGAUUUGAUAAAUGAACUCAGAAAUAUCUGCACUCUAGCUUUGAAAGGGCUGAGUUGGUUGAUACAGAACAAUGUCAAAGAUGGCAUAUUUUCACAGAACUGUCCAUGGGUAACAUUUCCCUCCCUGUGCAAUUCAAGGAAAAGAAGAUUUUUAUAGCCAUGAAAUGAGCAUUGAAUGGAAGAAGUUGCUGCGGCUGAGGUCGAAGAGGUUGGGGCCUGUGUUCUCCUUUAGGAUUUUGAUGGACCGCCAUCUUUCAGCUAUUUGCAAGCCCUGAAAAAAAUUACAGAAGAGGAAGUCAGAAAUUCAAAACACAAGAAAGACCUCACACACCAUUGCUGGCUUGAAGACCAAAGAGGCCACUUGGCACAGAAUGUACAGGUGAUCUCUAGGAGCUGAGACCAGCUGUCUGCUAAUAGCUAGCAAGGAAUGAAGACCUCAGCCCUGCAACUUCAAGGAACAAGAAGAAUGAACUUGGAAGUAGUAUCUCCUCUGAGCUUGCAGAGGAGAACUCAACCAGGUAAUGUCUUGAUUUCAGCCUUGUGAUACUCUGACCAGAGAAUACAGGUACAUGAUACCAGACUUCUGUGCUUCCAGUAAAACUGAACCAAUAAAUGGACACUGUUCUAAGUCAUUACAUUUGUGUCAUUGUUACACAGAAGUAGAAAACUAGGACGCCUGGGUGGCUCAGUUGGUUAAGCAUCUGCCUUCGGCUCAGGUCAUGAUCCCAGGGUCCUGGGAUCGAGUCCCGCAUCGGGCUCCCUGCUCUGCGGGGAGCCUGCUUCUCCCUCUGCCUCUGCCUCUCUCUCACUCUGUCUCUCAUGAAUAAAUAAAUAAAAUCUUAAAAAAAAAAAGAAAUAGAAAACAAAUACAUACCACCUUGGCCUCAAUUUUCUUUAGGUAAAGUUAAUAGUUAUAGAUGCAGACUACACAGAAAACAAUCAUUCAAAAAUAAGUCAAAUAUAUUUUUCAUGGGAGGGCUUUGGUAUAGCAUUUAUUCAAACUUUGUUCCAGCAAACAGAAAUCUAACUUAUUCCACCAAAUGAUAAACUGUUCCAUUUCUAAGCCAUUCCAAAAAGUCCUUUUCCAAUGCAUUCCAGUGCUAAAUAAUUCAUCAUUAGGAAAUUUGUUCUUAGUCCUCAUUUCCUCCAGAUAAUGAAAAUUGGCAUACUUCAUGCAUACUAUCUACUGCUCCUACCUAGGGAUAUUGGCCCUUAUAUAAAAAUUCAUAUAUGCUGUUGUGUUAAAAAAAUAAAAAUACCUAAACAAACUUCUUGAAGUUGUUAGAGGUGAUGGGGAAGGACUGCAAUGAGAACCAGAAUGGUGGUACAUACUCAGGAAAUCUUAGCAUUCAUCUUUUUUUCUCAUGAGCCACAGGGCUUUUCUCUUAAUAUAUUUCUCACAA